rnacentral:rRNA from 1 species
GAUGAACGCUGGCGGCGUGCCUAAUACAUGCAAGUCGAGCGAACGGACGAGAAGCUUGCUUUUCUGAUGUUAGCGGCGGACGGGUGAGUAACACGUGGAUAACCUACCUAUAAGACUGGGAUAACUUCGGGAAACCGGAGCUAAUACCGGAUAAUAUUUUGAACCGCAUGGUUCAAAAGUGAAAGACGGUCUUGCUGUCACUUAUAGAUGGAUCCGCGCUGCAUUAGCUAGUUGGUAAGGUAACGGCUUACCAAGGCAACGAUGCAUAGCCGACCUGAGAGGGUGAUCGGCCACACUGGAACUGAGACACGGUCCAGACUCCGACGGGAGGCAGCAGUAGGGAAUCUUCCGCAAUGGGCGAAGGCCUGACGGAGCAACGCCGCGUGAGUGAUGAAGGUCUUCGGAUCGUAAAACUCUGUUAUUAGGGAAGAACAUAUGUGUAAGUAACUGUGCACAUCUUGACGGUACCUAAUCAGAAAGCCACGGCUAACUACGUG